AAUCAGUUGAAAACCUGAGUCGAACAAAAAGAUUGACUCUCCCAUUAGUAACAGAAUUCUCCAGCUAACUGCCUUCAGACUUCAUCUGCAGCAUCAACUCUUCCAGCCUGAUGACCUUUGAGCUGAACCUUUGCUCUCCCUGGAUCUCCCACUCCACUGGCCCACCCUGUGAUUUUGAACUUACCAGUCUCCACAAUCGUGUGAGUCAAUUCCUUAAAAUAAAUCUCUCUGUCUCUCUCUUUUAUUGGUUCUGUUUCUCUGGAGAACCCUGGCUAAUACAGUAUGCCUGUGCUUGAUUUCUUCUGGUUAGGAAAGAAAGAAGUAACUCCUUUUGGACAAAGAAGGAAGACCUUUCCAGAACGGAGUCUCAGGAGGAAGAGUCUAGAAGUUUCAUCAUCUGUGAGUGUAAUCAAACCUAUGUAUCUGCUCCACCCAGACUGGAAUGCCAGUUUCUUGAGGUUGAUAUUUUAGAGUUAAGGAGGGAUGUUUAUUUACUUUAUCAGUUUUCCUGAAAUAUUUGGACUCCAGGGUGGGGAGGGAGGAAGGAAAAGGGGGGAAAAUAACUUACUUUUAAUGGUGUAUCAACUCUGAAACCAACUCUAGGAAAGUUGCUUUUCCACACACUGCUUCAUUUAAACCUCAUACAAUUUUAGGAGGUUUGCGUCAUCACCCUCAUGUUAAAGAGGCAAAUUAGAGGCUUAGAACUGAUCAGACUUUCCCCAAGGCCACACAGCAAAUAGUAGCUAAAGGCCAGAUCUGAGCCUUGGUUGAUUUCAAUAUUAUGCCACAAUGCCUUCCCAGGGUGUGUUAUUGCUGAUACAGUGACAAUGAUUUUAGCCCUUCCUGCCACUUGGGGGGUUAUCCAAAUGUUAAAAUAAUUUUAAAAAUAGAACCUUAGCUUCCCCUCAAAUCAUGUAACUUUAAGUAAAAUGAAACUAGUCUCCUCACUUUGUAGCUAUAGGUAGUAGUCAUCUGGUUGCCUCGAAAGAAAAUGGAGAUUGUUUUGUGAAGGAGGUGAAGGUAGGAACUGAUGUAGACCAAUGUGUCCUAAAGUAUAUUCCAUGGGACAUUAGCCCAUGGGAUGGCUAAGGGUUGGGAAACUUGGCAUAAAAUACCCAUUUUGUGGAGAGUCAUGUGAUUGGAUUUGCAUUUUGUUGAAAUCCAAA
rnacentral:lncRNA from 1 species